CUUUGCAGGCAGGAUGAAAACGCUACGGGGAACGAUGUCCUCUGCCAGGAAGACUUGAGGAUACUCUGGUAAAGAUGUGAAUCUCGCGGCUCGCCUUGCCAUCGAGCUACUAUAAUGAAAGCAACCAGAGGUAUGUGUCGAUUUGCUCUCUGCUCAGCUAGGACUAGAGAACCAAAUGGAAUAAGAGAAAGCUUUGCUUGGUGUGCA